GUGUUAUAGAUAAACCUCCGUCCGAUAAACCCUUCCUGGGACGAAGAGAGCAGUAAGAAAUUACUCCAAACAUAGAAGAGGAAGAAAUGGACAUGAGCGUGGAGAUAGAUAUUGAACUUCUCUUUCAAACUCGAUUGAAUGCUGACGCAAAGUACUCACUUAAUCCCAAUGACACCGAGAAUUUAACACAAUGGGGCAUGGCAUUGCUACAGUUAGCACAAUAUGGAACCCUCCAGGACUCAAAGAAAAUGGUUAAAGGGCUCCUUGAUGGUGGGCUCCUUGAUGGUGAUGUAAUGUUUAAAUGUCAACCUUGGGCGCAUGGAUGUUGUACAGAACCUUUAAUUUUUGACUCAGAAGCUCUGAGAGCUGCAAGUUCAUUUCAUGAUGCAUGGAUAAAUACUCAUAAAAAAACAGCGCAAUUAACUGUUUUCCAUCUUGAAGAGGCUAUUUCGAAGCUAGAGGAGAUUGCAAAAAUUGAUUCACGAAAGCAUGAAGCGUUGUGGCAUCUUGGAAAAGCACACAGUGCUGAAGCAUUUUUGACAUCUGACUCCAUUGAGGCACUGAAUAACUUUGAGAAGGCAGAUCGGUAUUUUCAAAAAGCAUUAGAUGAGGAUCCCAGGAAUGAGAUGUACCGCAAAUCUAUGGAGACCAAUGUUCAGGCAAUGCUAUUGCAUAUGAAGCUCCAACUAGGGACGGUUCAGCAGGCUUCUGGUGGAUCUUCAACUUCUUUCAAUGCAAAGAGCUCUGCUAUGAAGGCAAACCACGAUCUGGUGUACGAUGUCUUUGGGUGGGUACUUCUUGGUGCUGGAAUUGUGGCAUGGCUAGGAAUGGAAAAAUCUCAGGCCCAUCUAUGUACACCAAGGACCGCAAUACCAAGUUGAGACGGUGUUCUUACGAGUUGGAGACCAGAAGAUGAUGAUCCAUGUGCCUGGAAGGGCGUGAAGUGUGACCUGAAGUCCAAGAGAGUUGUAUCCUUGAUUCAUUAUUGAAUUGCAGACAUGCCAAGGUUCAAGAGUUUGCAGAAAAAGCAAAAUUCAGAUCAGGAGUCAUCACAGCCAGCUCCAACUAUUCAGACCGCAUCUAGAAAGUCUUCCGGAAGCCAUUGGACUGUAGAAGCAAUACAUUCAGAAAAAAAUGUCAAAAAGCUCAAAGUGAAAGUCAAAGAAGUGCUAAAUUUAACGUGCGAAGAACGUAUUAUAGUUGAUUUUGAUUACCUGGACGAACCAUUUGGAGAUGCACGCGGCCUACUUUCAGGCUUUUGUGGAGUUUUAGCGUGUGACUGCACUUUAUUUCCAAUCCACUGUGAGAAAUGGUCGAGUUAACCAAUGUCAUACUUCAACAGCGUCUUCGAUCAAUUUAUAAAGCCCAAGUUCUUCUUUAAGACAACUGAGUCAGUUGCGCACUAACAUGCUUAUAAAUCUAUUGGAAAGAAAUGGGCUGCAAAUAAUCUUAACUUGUGGAGUGCAUCUGAAGACCCACUUAAAAGUAGAGCUGAGAUUAUUGAUAAUGUGGCGGAUGGAAUUCCGCUGGAUCAAUGGAUUUCUUUUGUUGAUUAUCAAUAUAAAGAUUCAACAAAGGAAAAAAAUGAGUUAGUUUUGAGCCAAAGCACCAUGGAUGAGUCUCAGAUUUCGCCAAAUGAUGCCAUUGAUAAGGUGCUAGGAAAAGAGCACUCUGGAAGUGUAAGGGUAAGGUGUUUGGGAUUUGGACAUGUCUCCAGUAGAGUUUUUAAACAAGUAAGACCUCGUUUUGGUGGUACAAGUGUUUCAAGUAGUGAAGGUUCAUGUUCGUCCCAAUGUCAACAGAACCAUAAUCAAAUGAUGAAUGCUUUGAAGGCAUAUAUGAUAAUGAAAGAAGGGACAAUACCUGAACAGUUUGCGGGAUUCUUUGUUUCUACUUCAACGAUUUCUCCUACAACACCAAGUGAUGCGGGCAGUGGACCCCUUUCGCCCUUGGACCCAAGAAGAUCAUGCGGUGGUAGUAAUUCUAGUGACGACCGUUGAUUUUAUUGUAAUUGUCUUAGAUAAUUAAUUGUGACAAUAUAUUUGUGUGGUUGGAGCAUAUGCUAGAAUGUUGAAGUGAUUUAAUUUUUGAGUCUAAUGAUGCUACUUAAUGUUGACAAUUUAGUUUUAAAGACUAAUGAUAUUGUAUGACAAUAUUUUAUAGUUUUACGAUAUGUUAUUGAUUUCUCUUAACUUUAAAA